AGCGAACGCUGGCGGCAGGCCUAACACAUGCAAGUCGAACGAACCUUUCGGGGUUAGUGGCGGACGGGUGAGUAACACGUGGGAACGUGCCUUUAGGUUCGGAAUAACUCAGGGAAACUUGUGCUAAUACCGAAUGUGCCCUUCGGGGGAAAGAUUUAUCGCCUUUAGAGCGGCCCGCGUCUGAUUAGCUAGUUGGUUGAGGUAAUGGCUCACCAAGGCGACGAUCAGUAGCUGGUCUGAGAGGAUGAUCAGCCACAUUGGGACUGAGACACGGCCCAAACUCCUACGGGAGGCAGCAGUGGGGAAUCUUGCGCAAUGGGCGAAAGUCUGACGCAGCCAUGCCGCGUGAAUGAUGAAGGUCUUAGGAUUGUAAAAUUCUUUCACCGGGGACGAUAAUGACGGUACCCGGAGAAGAAGCCCCGGCUAACUUCGUG
rnacentral:rRNA from 1 species